GAGCGGGACAAGCCGCGGCGUGAGGGGCGGGGGAAAAAGGCGGGAAGGCGUCGGGUGAGGCAGCGCGUGGCGCCCUCACAGCGCUCUGAGGUAAUAACCGCCAUGGCGGUGCGUUGGUGUCAGCGGCCUCCCGUGGUGCUGUGUUGGGGUUUGUUCUCCCUCGUGCCCUGCAGGCCUCUUCUGGUGGUGUGUUCGGUUUUAAAGGCUUUGCUUAGAGCUGGAAGUGGAAAAUUAUAUUGGAUAUCUGUGAAAAUGAAGAUAUAAUCUUACCACUCCUUCAUAUAAACAGGAGUCCAAGCUUUGGCACUAGCAGAACACACUAGAGAACAGUAAGUGCUGCUAUGGUUGGUGAUGAAAGGAAAAGCUUCUGAGAUCCAGGCUUCUUUGAACCAAGCAAGUCUGAGGAUUCACCAGGGAGAGGAAACUGGGGGUUUUUCUUCUGCAUCACUUUUCCUCAAAAAUUAAUUUGCAACAGAAUAGCAAAUACUGAGCUAGACAGGGUCCAGUACUCCAACUUUUCCUUAACUGUGAAUCAAAUAAUUAAAGACAUUUUUCAAGCUCUUGUACCAAUUAACUAAUCCUCAGUGUUGCACCGAGGAGGAAGGUGAGUUGAAUAUAACUUGUCUUUAAAAUUUUUUUUUUGAAGUGUAGAGAAGUUGAGCAGCUUAUUUAUAUUAAAAUAAUAAUAAUUAAAAAUACAGAAUUGGGAACAGGAACUCCUUUAGACAGUGGCUGUUUCUAGUUCCAAACAGAGAUGCAGAAGAAUAUAGGUAGGUUCCAGGCAUACAUAUUCAAAGCCAUGACUGAAAAAACUGCAGCUACCAGCACUCCUCAGGCACUGUGCUUUCUCACCUGAAGGUUCACCAGUGCAGUUAUGCGUGUGCUCACAACUGUCACUUCCUGAGUGCUUCAACACUUAGCUCCGACCCUCCCUGUGCUUGGCUCCAGCAGCACCUACGUCUCUUGGAACAGGAAAGGAUACAUUUGCUCUAGCAGAGCUACCACGUGCAAGCAGCACUACAAUCAGUACAAAACACAACCACAAUCAGCACCUCUAUGAGAAGAGGCUGCCAGCAGUUGGUGGGACAGCUGCCUUCCACACACAGCCCCAUGGGGGCUGAGCUUACUGCUUUGCAUAUUGCCUGUUUGCUUUCCUGACUUCAAAACACUCUGAGACGGUUUGACUUUGGCACUGUUGCUGUGAUUCGAAACUAGUUUUAAUUGUGAGAAAACAAACACUGUGUAAAGAAUCUUGACCUCCUUUGGAAAAAUUCUGGCUAGGAAGCUUUAAUUGCAGGGAAUCUGUUGGUAGCACUAUUUUUACAUGUAUUGGAAACGUAUCAAAGCUAAUUUUUGAGAAGAGUAAAUUAUACUUUAGGAUGCACAAUUGUGAGAAAGUGACUCCCAAACGUCUUUGAGUUGGUCCUUUGUUUCUCGUUAGAAGCAUCUCCUGUCUUCCCUGAUGAGUCUGCUCCUGUUUUCAGGGCUGUUUUGCUUUAAGAUGCUUUUGAUCCUGUAUUCAUUAAAACCUGAUCCUGCUGCUUCCCACCAGCCCUAAUGGUCUGUGAAAUUAUUUUCCUUUCUCUAAGAUGCUGUUAACUCUGCUAGCACCUGCAGAGUAGAGGAGCUCAGAACACUGUCGAAACUCUUCAAAUUCAUCCAAACCACCUUUUCUCCAUAAACAAUCUUCAAUGUUAUCACAGCAAUCUUCUGUAGUGGAGAAGCGGGAGUGGACUGAACAGAGUUUAAAGUUUUUAUCACUGCUGUUUUCCACUUCUGCAGGUACAGAGAGGUAAUUGUACAAAAGACUUGGGAAUCCAGGAUAAGAUUCACUCUGUGGAGCACGGACAGAAAGUAUGAAUGAGCUUAAAGGGCUCAAAUAGCUGGGGAAGAAAAGAAAAAAGGUGAAUCAACUAAGAAGGCAGAGGACAAUGAAAAGUGAUGUAAAAGGGAAAAUGUAAAUGUGCCUUUACAGUCAGGACCUUGCAGGGAAUAGCAGCUAUGGAUUCUUGAAGUAUCCACAAACUAGGAGUUGUUCAGUGUUUAAUUGCUGAGCUGUCAUCCUGUCCUGAAUCCUGAUGCGAAGUCUGGUUUCAUUUUUAUGCUGGUGGAAGAGGAGAGCUCUCUCAGUGUGUGGUUUUGACCACAAUGAAGGUUAAUGUUAGCUGUUACCAUGCACUUUACUGUACAAAUUCCAGCACUCCGAUUUAAGGGGUGCUACUCCAGAACGUUCCUACAGAACUAAUCAGAGCUAAUCAGUUCUUUGUUUAUGCCUUCUCAUUAGCAGUCCUGCAAUGACUAUCACUGCAUUAAGUUACUGCAGCCAGAAUGGCAGUAAUGAGUAUUCCGAUGUUUAAUUUCAUCUUUAGUUGUGCUCAGUUAUUGCACGGAAAAUUGUUUUCUGGAGAAGUGAUCUCAGAACCAAGCAUUCAGAAGUCAUGAAGCCUGACCAGAAGUGAGGUUCUCCCUGUGAUAUUUUGGAUGUACUGUACAUAUAUAUCUACACAUUGUGGUCUUGUAACAUUAUCCUUAAACCAGAUAAAAUGAAGCUUAUGUUAAAACUAGGCACUAAUCUAAAGCAUCCAACUGAUAAAAUCCAGGCCUCAUUACUUAGUGAAGAUCAUCAUUCAGUUGUGCUUUUUGUGUUCUGAGUUUUAGAUCUCCAGAUGUGAAUGUGAACACUCCUGCCAGCCCAGCUGUUCAUACAGAAAUGCAGUUAGCUGCUGGGGUUACUGCAUUGCCACACAGGGCAGAAAGCAGGAGCAGGAUCUGCCCUUCAGGAUGGGCCUUCUGUUUCUCAAUCCUAAGACCAAGAUUUUGUUUUUCCUGCCACGUUCACUGUAAAACGAAUUAACAAAUUACAGCCUAUCACAUUCCCUAAAUGAGAUCUGCCAAGACCUUGGGAGAAAGUCACGCUACGGUUCUGAGAAUAACUUCAAUCAGAGAAGGAACUUGCAAUUUUUUUCUUGAAAGCAGGUCCAGCUCUUCAAAGCUGAUAAUGAACAAGAGAGGCAAUAUUUGCCUGGAAAACAGUUUGCAUUGUUCUGAGAAGUGAUUUUAAGAAGUUUAGCUAAUGAGUGUCAGGCGAUCAAACUGCCAGGAGAUACAAACUCAGCUGCCUGCUUUACCCGUGACCACAGAAGAUGCAGAUAAUGAUCUCUGCUGUUUAAAUGUAUUUGGGGGCUGAGAUUUUAUUGCCUAGGAAUGUUUAAUUUCUCCAGCCUUAAAUGCAAUUUGCAUUUUAAUUUUUUUUUUCCUUAAAAUACUUAAAACUGUAAACACCUCAUUGCGCAGUGACAUCCGGCUGUAGCAGAUUCAGUCUGAGGUAAUUACAGUUCUUCCUGUUCUUCACAUGCAUCUUCUCACCAUUGCUGAAAUGCUGUUAGUUAUGCACUGUAACUCUAAGUAUGAAACGUUAUGAGAAUACGUAUUUCAAACACACAUCCACUCCCUCCUGCCCUGACACUCUCCACGUACUGAAAUGGGACUCCAAAGCUGGCAUGUUUUUCCCCAAUAGAUGGCUGAUUCUUGUGUACUUUUCAGUCUGAGAAAUCCGAUAGGAAUUCUUGUUUCCUUUGCAAGAGCGUGUGGAGGCCGGCGUAUUAAGCUCACAUAACCACUGAGCCUUAACUGAGUGGCACAGAACAGAUCCCAGUUGUUCUUAACAUUUGCCAUUAGGGUGAUGGGGUUUUUUUAGUAGUAUCUUUAAGACUGGUAACUCAUCAUUUUCAAAGCAGCACUGGUAGCUUCAUUAUCCCCCUAACUGUUGUCAUUUAAGCAUGAGUCUUUAUCCCGUGACCAGCAGAUUACCAGUGUUAAACACAAACCUUUGAAUGCACGUGCACACAGUACCACCUAACUUAUUCUAUAUGCACUCUAAACAUUAUUUUAAAACAUCUGUUGAUGAAAUUGCAGAGGGAACUCAUAAAGGCAAGGAAGAUGAAAGGAAAAGGAAAGCAGCUGCCAAGCCUUCCCCCCUGUGAAUGCCAUGUCUCGGUUAGGUACGAAAUAAAACUUCACCUUUCUUCGCUGAUACAUCAACGAGUUCCACCUGGAGAGACAACAGGCACAAACACUGCCACAGUGUUGUCUGCUGUUUAUUCUCAGUGUGAGCAUGACUUCUCAUCUCCCUGGAACCACCACCAACUGACAAGGUUCCUAGGAGAAUUCUGGCAGAAAUGUUUUUGCAGACAUCAACUGCAGAGCCCAUAGCUGCUGCUGUGCACAAAGGCAGCUAUCAGUGUUAUCCCAGGAUGAGAGGACAGGCAGGUACAUGCACAUUUAUAGGCAUGCUAUUUGCAAUGGAGGGCUGUCCUGCUGAAGUCAUUGUCUCGAGGCUUCUAACAACUCCAGUGUAGUCUGCUGAUGAUCAAAAAAUUAAGCAGAAUAAAAAUGGAGGAAGACCUUGAUUUCCACAUUAUACUUUUACUGUAAACCAGAGAUGUCGGAAGUACAGUCCUAUUGCUAAUUAGACAAGGACCAUUUUUUGUUGCUUUCUUCUCAUAUUUCUUGAAAAUUAUUGAAAGAAGAGUUCCCCCUGCUGGUAACUGCCUGAGUCAUAAAGGGACUCAGGGCUGGGACUUCAGACCCAACGGAAAAAGGCAAGAUGGAAUGGCUGCCUCAUUUGUCUGACCUUUGUGUUUUGCACUUGCAGGUCUUUUCCUGAGGCACUUGAAUUCAAGUCCUACUUGACUGAUUUCCCUUCUCCUCAGAGAAAGGCCACUCAGCUGCUAAUGAAGGAGCAAGCCUCAAGAUUUUGCUUUAGUAACUCCUUGGCAAGUCAGCUCCAACUAAAAACAUUAUACAGUGAGUGUUCAGCACAUCUGCCAUCUUGACUGCAAAGAGUGAGUGUUUACACUUCAGGUUUCAUUUUGGAAAAUAUUCCACUGUCACAAUAAAGCUAUUGCUUGGA